rnacentral:rRNA from 1 species
UGUGAACUCGAAGAGUAGGGCGGGACACGUGGUAUCCUGUCUGAAUAUGGGGGGACCAUCCUCCAAGGCUAAAUACUCCUGACUGACCGAUAGUGAACCAGUACCGUGAGGGAAAGGCGAAAAGAACCCCGGCGAGGGGAGUGAAAAAGAACCUGAAACCGUGUACGUACAAGCAGUGGGAGCACCUUCGGGUGUGACUGCGUACCUUUUGUAUAAUGGGUCAGCGACUUAUAUUCUGUAGCAAGGUUAACCGUAUAGGGGAGCCGAAGGGAAACCGAGUCUUAACUGGGCGUUAAGUUGCAGGGUAUAGACCCGAAACCCGGUGAUCUAGCCAUGGGCAGGUUGAAGGUUGGGUAACACUAACUGGAGGACCGAACCGACUAAUGUUGAAAAAUUAGCGGAUGACUUGUGGCUGGGGGUGAAAGGCCAAUCAAACCGGGAGAUAGCUGGUUCUCCCCGAAAGCUAUUUAGGUAGCGCCUCGUGAACUCAUCUUCGGGGGUAGAGCACUGUUUCGGCUAGGGGGCCAUCCCGGCUUACCAACCCGAUGCAAACUACGAAUACCGAAGAAUGUUAUCACGGGAGACACACGGCGGGUGCUAACGUCCGUCGUGAAGAGGGAAACAACCCAGACCGCCAGCUAAGGUCCCAAAGUCAUGGUUAAGUGGGAAACGAUGUGGGAAGGCACAGACAGCCAGGAUGUUGGCUUAGAAGCAGCCAUCAUUUAAAGAAAGCGUAAUAGCUCACUGGUCGAGUCGGCCUGCGCGGAAGAUGUAACGGGGCUAAACCAUGCACCGAAGCUGCGGCAGCGAC